AGCAUCAGUUCCAUCUGGAAGUAGGCAUGGAUCAUCUCCGUGAAUAAUAUAGUCAAUCUUAUGCUCAUUAAAGAGUUUGUUCAUGAAUUGCUCAGUAAUUGCAUACGGGGCAUUGGCAAUAACUUCAUCCACCCACUUCAAACCACUAACAAGAGCCAGCCUUUCUUCCAUUGGUAACACUGGAGGGCCCUUAUUCGCUAUGAUUUCUUCAUCACUUACAACACCCACCACCAG
rnacentral:misc_RNA from 1 species